rnacentral:rRNA from 1 species
GUUGUUGGGUAGGGGAGCGUUCUGUAAGCCGUUGAAGGUGACCUGUGAGGGUUGCUGGAGGUAUCAGAAGUGCGAAUGCUGACAUAAGUAACGAUAAUGCGGGUGAAAAACCCGCACGCCGGAAGACCAAGGGUUCCUGUCCAACGUUAAUCGGGGCAGGGUGAGUCGACCCCUAAGGCGAGGCUGAAAAGCGUAGUCGAUGGGAAACAGGUUAAUAUUCCUGUACUUGGUGUUACUGCGAAGGGGGGACGGAGAAGGCUAGGCUGGCCGGGCGACGGUUGUCCCGGUUUAAGCGUGUAGGGGGAGUGACCAGGUAAAUCCGGUUGCUUAUCAACCCUGAGGCGUGAUGACGAUGCACCACGGUGCAGAAGCAGUUGAUGCCAUGCUUCCAGGAAAAGCCUCUAAGCAUCAGGUAACAUUAAAUCGUACCCCAAACCGACACAGGUGGUCAGGUAGAGAAUACUCAGGCGCUUGAGAGAACUCGGGUGAAGGAACUAGGCAAAAUGGUGCCGUAACUUCGGGAGAAGGCACGCUGGCGUUAGGUGAAAGGACUAGCUCCUGGAGCUGAAGCCAGUCGCAGAUACCAGCUGGCUGCAACUGUUUAAUAAAAACACAGCACUGUGCAAACACGAAAGUGGACGUAUACAGUGUGACGCCUGCCCGGUGCUGGAAGGUUAAUUGAUGGGGUCAGCCGCAAGGCGAAGCUCUUGAUCGAAGCCCCAGUAAACGGCGGCCGUAACUAUAACGGUCCUAAGGUAGCGAAAUUCCUUGUCGGGUAAGUUCCGACCUGCACGAAUGGCGUAAUGAUGGCCAGGCUGUCUCCACCCGAGACUCAGUGAAAUUGAACUCGCUGUGAAGAUGCAGUGUACCCGCGGCAAGACGGAAAGACCCCGUGAACCUUUACUAUAGCUUGACACUGAACAUUGAGCCUUGAUGUGUAGGAUAGGUGGGAGGCCUUGAAGUGUGGACGCCAGUCUGCAUGGAGCCAACCUUGAAAUACCACCCUUUAAUGUUUGAUGUUCUAACUCGGCCCCAUGAUCUGGGGUGAGGACAGUGUCUGGUGGGUAGUUUGACUGGGGCGGUCUCCUCCCAAAGAGUAACGGAGGAGCACGAAGGUUAGCUAAUCACGGUCGGACAUCGUGAGGUUAGUGCAAAGGCAUAAGCUAGCUUGACUGCGAGAGUGACGGCUCGAGCAGGUACGAAAGUAGGUCUUAGUGAUCCGGUGGUUCUGAAUGGAAGGGCCAUCGCUCAACGGAUAAAAGGUACUCCGGGGAUAACAGGCUGAUACCGCCCAAGAGUUCAUAUCGACGGCGGUGUUUGGCACCUCGAUGUCGGCUCAUCACAUCCUGGGGCUGAAGUAGGUCCCAAGGGUAUGGCUGUUCGCCAUUUAAAGUGGUACGCGAGCUGGGUUUAGAACGUCGUGAGACAGUUCGGUCCCUAUCUGCCGUGGGCGUUGGAAGAUUGAGAGGGGCUGCUCCUAGUACGAGAGGACCGGAGUGGACGAAUCACUGGUGUUCGGGUUGUCAUGCCAAUGGCAUUGCCCGGUAGCUAAAUUCGGAAGAGAUAACCGCUGAAAGCAUCUAAGCGGGAAACUUGCCUCGAGAUGAGUCUUCCCUGGGGCUUAAAGCCCCCUGAAGGAACGUUAAAGACUAUGACGUUGAUAGGCUGGGUGUGUAAGUGCAGCGAUGUAUUGAGCUAACCAGUACUAAUGAUCCGUGAGGCUUAACCUUACAACACCGAAGGUGUUU